rnacentral:lncRNA from 1 species
UGGCAGAAUAGAGAGGCUGAGCGGCCCUUCAUUUUUACAUUAUAUAUUCCAUUUCACACCCCACUACCUCUCCUGAAACCAUACUGAUCACCCCUCUAAAUCAAUAUCUAGAACCAAUGAGAGUUCAUGCAGUAUGAUUUACUUUGUCUGUCCUUUUUUUUAGCUUAUUCAGCUUACAUGUCUGGAGAUGAGCAUAAGACAUUUUCCUGUGGUUUGUAUGGACUUUCACUUUGUGAUUUUUUGUGUUCUUAGCCAUUGUUCACCAUGUCCAAUUAUUGAGAGCUGGAAAACAUAAGUCAGGUGGCUUUUCUUGUCCAAGAUUUACUCUAUGGUCCAAUUAACUAUUUGCAGGCUCUACAGUAUACAACUUAUGUUUUCCCCUGUGGUGUUACAUCCUUUACUUGUGAAGAGGCAAAGGUGCACUCCUCUACAUGGGAGCAUGUGUACUUAUCCAGGUCACAAAUUCAUAUGCAGACUAGCUGUGGGUUAGAUUGUUAUGAGAAUUCUAUAUUUCUCUCAGUGCAUCUGCACAUAAAUUGCACCAUAGAUUUUUUUUUCUCUUCUUUUGGUAAGUUUAUUCUAUUUAAAUCACCCUGACACAUUGAAUUUGUGGUAAAAUUGUUAGUUUAUCCGAACCAUUUCAAUCUGCUCAACAAUUUUUCCCUUGGAAUCUGCUCAGCAUACAAAAGAUGAUGCUUAUAAGACCUCUUAUUUUAUCAUGUAUCUUCUCUAAAAUAUAAUGCCUUGUUUUAUCUGUUGUAUAUUUCGUUUGUCAGUCUAUUCUGCUUCUCUUAUAGUAUUACUUAGUGAAUAUUUGUUACUUUUCGUUAAAGGAGAAUUGUGAAGCCAACAAGAAUGCAGAAACUAGCUCAUAUGUUGCGAGGAAUCACAUACCUAAUAGCACAAUGCUAUCAUGAGAGUGGGUGUGCUCUCAUGAGGUAAUCCUAUCACGUGCCUUUUCAAUAGUAUGCAAAUAUUAGUUUCAGCAAGCGUGGAUGUAUUUUAACUUGUGUCGCUUCUCAAGGGACAUGCAUGGAGGGCCAGUGAGGUGCCAAGAUCUACCGGCCGCCCAUGGAACCUGUAUUGCCGUCCUCAGCCAUAUAUCAUAUUUCUAACACUUUCUUGUUCCAUUUUAAUCUUUUAGUUUUCUACCGUUCCAGUAGCAUCUCCAUGUAUCUGGAAGUAUUGGUAUUGAUGGUUGCAAUUGAUGAAAGGUGUCAACUAUUCUUGGUAUGUAUCAUCCGAGCAAAAAUUGACCAUUCUUUGACAACAACAGUUUUUCACUGCAUGUAUUGAACUUUGCU